AAUAAUUGAAAUUUUAUGAGGUGUUUUUUACAACUCUGCAAGAGCUAAAAAUUAUUUUACUGAUGUAACUAUGUACGAACUCUAUAACUUAUAAAAUGAUAAAACCAUUUAUUACAUGAAAAAGGAAGAAUUAUGGCUAAAAUUGUAAAGUUUAUUCAUGUCACGAUUAUCAUAUUUUCUCUAUUUUUCGCUGCUACAAACGUUGAAUGUAAGCUAUUUUUCUCCUUUUCAAAUGUUCUUAUCAUUUAGUUUGUACACAAUAUUUGAACUAAUAUAAUUUACGUUACUUUACCAUCUUUUCUUCUUACAGCGUUCUAUCAACGAUGUUCUAGUGAUUCGGAUUGUCGUUUAAAUAAGUGUGAAAGACCUAGGAUAUCGAAGUGUGUUAGAAAUUGGUGUAGAUGUUUACAUCCAAAAGAGGUUAUAUCGAGAAACCAAUAGUACAAUUAUCCAAGAGAGUGGCCAAUUAUCCAAAAGAGUGGCCAAUUUCACUACAACAAUUGUGCUGUCACUUAGCUUUGAUAUAAACUAGUCUAAAAAAAAUAUAAAUAAAAUUCAAGAAAAACAUAAUAUUUGAAUAUCCGAAUCAUACUUUUCACAAAUUGUAAUGACCGAAAUGUCGUUUAUAUGGUAGGAUAGAAACAAUCUCAUGUAAUUCCCUCAAUUGUCUCUCAAAAUUGUAUGUUUAUUUGCUGAACGAAAUUCUUGUAAUGCAACUCGAGCAUCAUCCUCUAUAACAUUUGAUCUCUCUUCAAUUGUUUCAAUAUGUGUAGCAAUUUCAAUAGAAAUUUGAUUUCUAUAUGGAGAUGCGUGUGAUUUUUCGGUUUAAGAGGAUACAAUUGGUCUAUAAUUUUUGGACA
rnacentral:lncRNA from 1 species